rnacentral:rRNA from 1 species
GAUGAACGCUGACAGAAUGCUUAACACAUGCAAGUCUUUGGCGAAGCUGUGCUCGCACAGCCUAGCCAAGGCGGACGGGUGAGUAACGCGUAAGGAACUUGCCCUGCAGUCAGGGAUAACAGACGGAAACGACUGAUAAGACCUGGUAAAGUCAGGCGGACUCAUGUCCAGCCUGAUGAAAAGAGAUGCUGCAGGAGAGCCUUGCGUCCUAUUAGCUUGUUGGUGGGGUAACGGCCCACCAAGGCGAUGAUAGGUAGCCGGCCUGAGAGGGUGGACGGCCACAAGGGGACUGAGAUACGGCCCUUACUCCUACGGGAGGCAGCAGUGGGGAAUAUUGGACAAUGGGGGCAACCCUGAUCCAGCAAUUCUGUGUGCACGAUGAAGGUUUUCGGAUUGUAAAGUGCUUUCAGCAGGGAAGAAAAAAAUGACGGUACCUGCAGAAGAGGCGACGGCUAAAUACGUG